CAUCCAACAAUUAUGAAUAGCAAGCCCCUGGUAAUCUCACAAAAAAUCCUUUAUAUUCUUACAAUAUUAAUGGGAACACUAAAAGCCACGGUAAAAUCGAGCGUAGAACUACACGAUAUGCGUAUCACAAAUUAAACUGGUAAACAGUGCUGCGCACGCAUCAUCGACCGGAAUAUCGAUCGCAGAGCCGUUUCGUGUUAAUUCUUACAACUAUCGAAAUGAAACGCCACUGCGAAUGCGUCGUUUGUACGUUGUGUCGUAAACAUGGACCCCUUGCGUCAAUUACAUAACUUAUGUUACAUUACUAAUUGUAUAACAAAGCAAUCGAAUUGCUUGUUUCGUGUGUAAAUCGUAUGUAAAUUAUAAGACAUCAAUUAUCAAUUAAUAUACUGUGGAAAGUGUAAGUUGGAGAAAUCAAAGUAAACGCGAAAGUGUGUUACUGAAUCGAGUAGUCCGAGAAAAUACGUGUUCGAAGUUGUGCGAGCAUAAUCAGGUUAGCUGAUCGACCGGUUGAUAUGUAUUUACUGGGAUAAUUCAUUGUCAAGCAAUUCGUGUGUGCAAUAAGUGUCCACAGCAUCGGAGUUUGUCAAAGUCCGAAAUACGGAAAGCCAGUCAGAUCGAUGGAUGGUUCGCGAAAGUCAGGUUGAAUGGCGAAUCUUCUCGAUGAUGGAACGACGUCGUGACAAAUAUUUUGGAUGGAAUAACAUACUGUCGACUUCAGUUUUGCUUGACGAGCCAAGUUACAUUUCAACAUCCGCUAGAACGAAAAUAGAAUCUUAUACUACUCAAAUAUCGACCGCUUGAUAGAAGGACAAUUACAAUUCAUCCAUGGAAUAGAAUCAAACUUUAAGGAAGCCCAUCCCCUGUUUCAUUUAAGAGGAUAGCAGUUUCCAUCCAUUCUUCACCGAUUACUAGCUCGACUGCUUCUCAAGGAGAGGGUGAAUUAAGCUUGAAAGAUGACGUUGGGACGCUCGUCGGAUAUUUUCCUUUACGAUCAAAUUCCACGAAUUCGUCGGCGGUUCAGCAGCCUGUGCAUGGUCUUAUCGCUGUUUAUGACAUCGAACAUAACGUUUCGAAGGAGGAGCAAUCUCUGUCCAAGACUUUCUACGCUCGAUACAUUAAAGGGAACUUUACGAUCAGGCCGAGUUCCCUGCCAAGAUUGAUUGAAAAUGCCCGACUCGAAAUGCGAAACCAUCUCAGGAUUCCCUCUCACCUUACCUGUACCAUCAUUCUUGUCAUGCAAAUCGUGUAAACGGAUCGACAAAGGAAGAUGUUUCAAGAACCGAUCAAACAUAAUCCACCAAUGUAUUAACGCCGAAUGGUGAACGCUGAGAACACUGUACGUACUAUGUACUAACCUAGCCGAACGUGCCAUAAGUGUUAUUUCGAGAGCACACUGACGUCUAAUAGGUGAGACAUUACGGUAGCCUUAAAUUCUUGAACACCUUUCUUCCUACUUCCUGUGUACACUUCCGCGGUCAGCCAUAAAAAUCGUUAAAAGCCCAUUAAUUGUAG